rnacentral:rRNA from 1 species
UACGUAGGGGGCAAGCGUUGUCCGGAAUUAUUGGGCGUAAAGAGCGUGUAGGCGGUCCGGUAAGUCAGCUGUGAAAGUCAAGGGCUCAACCCUUGAAUGCCGGUUGAUACUGUCGGGCUAGAGUCCGGAAGAGGCGAGUGGAAUUCCCGGUGUAGCGGUGAAAUGCGCAGAUAUCAGGAGGAACACCGAUGGCGAAGGCAGGUCUCUGGGCAUUAACUGACGCUGAGGAGCGAAAGCAUGGGGAGCGAACAGG